CGAGGGGUCCUAGCGUUGUUCGGAAUUAUUGGGCGUAAAGCGUGUGUAGGCGGCCUUACAAGUCAGUUGUGAAAGCCCCGGGCUCAACCCGGGAAGUGCUUCUGAUACUGUUUGGCUUGAGUACUGGAGAGGAUAGUGGAAUUCCUGGUGUAGUGGUGAAAUACGUAGAUAUCAGGAGGAACACCGGUGGCGAAGGCGGCUAUCUGGCCAUGUACUGACGCUGAGACACGAAAGCGUGGGGGAGCAAACAGGAUUAGAUACCCUGGUAGUCCACGCCGUAAACGAUGGAUACUUGGUGUUGGAGGUAUUGACCCCUUCAGUGCCGAAGCUAACGCGUUAAGUAUCCCGCCUGGGGAGUACGGCCGCAAGGUUA
rnacentral:rRNA from 1 species